CUUAAAAAAAACCCUAUUCUCCAUUUUUUAAAUUAAAUUAGCAUCGUCUUCCUCUUUGCCUUUUCAUUGUCUUCAAUCCAGUAAAACUUUGAAGAUUUGAAAUUUGUGCAUUGACGGCUUCUUCAAUGACAAAUUUAUUGGCUUUGGUGUUAGUAUUGAAAGAAAUCAAGAAAGAAGAAUACUAAAAUCAACUGUAAAUGCCUACAGCAACAUACCCGCCACCAUCGCUGUAUUGCAAGCUCUACGAGGACUAUCUACAGUAUCCAAACUCUGCUUCUGAACCACCGCCCCCAAUCCCAGGCACCUAUGUUCUCUACGAUUGAUGAUGUGCUUCCUACUCAAUUAGAGCAUGGCGUCCAUCAAUUGUACCCAAAACGGUAAAAUGUUGGUAUGAUUUGCAUAUUGCAUCACUUUUUGACAGUAGUUUUGAAUGUGAAGGAUAUUUAAUCAACUGUUAUACCACUUUAUUGCCAUCAAUAGGCAUUUUAGUAUCAAAUUUUCAAGCAGUGUGUUGGCUUUUUUGCUUUGCUGUUAUUUGAUGAUCAUUUGUACCCGUGGAGGUUUAAUAUAUUUGAGCUUGUACAAUUUUCUUCAUUUAUGCUCGGAGUUUGUAAGUAAUUUGCUCGGUUUCAUCUAACAGCAAGCUCGCAAGAUGCAAUUGGCUUCCAUAUAGCUGUGGUUUUCACCGCUUCUGUAGAUUAUCAAAAAGUAAUCUCUUGUCAAACUAUAUGGUAUUUUCUUUACUCUUUUAGGCACUGCUGAUUAGAUAGGCAGUAUAGGAGUCUUGUAAUUCUUGGUGGAUACAUUUAUCCAUUUUAUUGAAGGUCUCACUGUAUUUACAUUGCAUGUGUUUUCAUGACCAAUAUCAGACCUCAUAAUUGUUUGUCAUGUUGCAUUGAUGCUAUGACUUUGAUCGAAAUUUGUGCAAGCUCAGUUUAAUAUAGAUUUGGUUUGUCGAGAAUAUAUGUCCAAUUGGAGGAAGAAGUUAGCCGUGAAGAUAUUUGUAUGGCAUUUGGAUCCGAAGAUUUAGAUAAUUUUUUAAAUUACUUUUUUUCUUUUUUCUGGGAGAUUAAUUUUUAAUUGUACAUCUUUGCUUUGAGUUAAUUGUUGAUGUGUGUCUUUAUAG